AGCUCGGUGGUGUAGUGGCCAAGCAUAUAGGGCCUUGGACCCUGCGACCCCAGUUCGAAUCUGGGCCGGGCUACCA
rnacentral:tRNA from 1 species